ACCCUUCUUACUCCAGGCUCCUGCUCAAAAGGGCUAUCACGGUAUGUAAAUGCAAACAUUGAAUCCCAUCAUCAUCCAACUUUGAAACCAGCAUUUGAUCUAAUGUAUGGUGAAUCUUGUUUUUUUUACCAGGUGUUCCAAUUUGCUGAUAAGUACAGAGGACCUUAUAGCAAAGGGCUGAAACGCUUUGUCUGCCCUUUCUACUGCUCCUACUCCGGAUACCAGGUAAUGUAGCAUACUUGCCACCCUUUUGCCCUCUUCUCAUUUCGCUUUUGUAUCGAUGAAACUAAUGAUUCCAUGGUUG
rnacentral:lncRNA from 1 species